ACAUCGCCGACGCGGGUCGAAGUGUAGUACCUGUUCUUGGCAGCUUAAUAUCUGAUACGGGUUGUAUUUGUAACUAAGGUAUUGAACUUAUUUUCGCAAGUUGGCAGAUCGAGUGCUUAAAGCCUGCUUCACCUCCGCCGCGGGUCGGCCUGGUAUUGCACCAUCUUCGGUAUCACCCCACUGGGG